AAUCCAUAGGUUAAUGAGGCGAACCGGGGGAACUGAAACAUCUAAGUACCCCGAGGAAAAGAAAUCAACCGAGAUUCCCCCAGUAGCGGCGAGCGAACGGGGAGGAGCCCAGAGCCUGAAUCAGCAUGUGUGUUAGUGGAAGCGUCUGGAAAGGCGCGCGAUACAGGGUGACAGCCCCGUACACAAAAGCGCAUGUGCUGUGAGCUCGAUGAGUAGGGCGGGACACGUGGUAUCCUGUCUGAAUAUGGGGGGACCAUCCUCCAAGGCUAAAUACUCCUGACUGACCGAUAGUGAACCAGUACCGUGAGGGAAAGGCGAAAAGAACCCCGGCGAGGGGAGUGAAAAAGAACCUGAAACCGUGUACGUACAAGCAGUGGGAGCACAGGUUUACCUGUGUGACUGCGUACCUUUUGUAUAAUGGGUCAGCGACUUAUAUUCUGUAGCAAGGUUAACCGAAUAGGGGAGCCGGAGGGAAACCGAGUCUUAAUUGGGCGUUAAGUUGCAGGGUAUAGACCCGAAACCCGGUGAUCUAGCCAUGGGCAGGUUGAAGGUUGGGUAACACUAACUGGAGGACCGAACCGACUAAUGUUGAAA
rnacentral:rRNA from 1 species